AGAUCUGUGGCUCUGUGGUAAGAGCGCUGCCCCACGGCUUCAGGGGUUGCUGGUUCAAGGCCAGCCAGAACUC
rfam:Danio rerio chromosome 4, GRCz11 reference primary assembly.